rnacentral:rRNA from 1 species
GACGAAGGUGGCAAGCGUUACUCGGAAUUACUAGGCGUAAAGCGCGAGCAGGCGGCUCGGCAAGUCUGUCGUGAAAGCCCUCGGCUCAACCGAGGAAGUGCGUUCGAAACUGCAGAGCUUGAGUACCGGAGAGGGUGGCGGAAUUCCCCAAGUAGAGGUGAAAAUUCGUAGAUAUGGGGAGGAACACCGGUGGCGAAGGCGGCCACCUGGACGGUCACUGACGCUGAGACGCGAAAGCGUGGGUAGCAAACAGG